rnacentral:rRNA from 1 species
UACGAAGGGGGCUAGCGUUGCUCGGAAUCACUGGGCUUAAAGGGCGCGUAGGCGGGCCGGCAAGUCAGGGGUGAAAUCCCACGGCUCAACCGUGGAAGUGCCUUUGAUACUGCCGGCCUCGAGGGAGGUAGGGGCGUGCGGAACUUCCGGUGGAGCGGUGAAAUGCGUAGAUAUCGGAAGGAACACCGGUGGCGAAAGCGGCGCGCUGGACCUCUUCUGACGCUGAGGCGCGAAAGCCAGGGGAGCAAAGCGGG